rnacentral:rRNA from 1 species
AACGAACGCUGGCGGCAUGCCUAACACAUGCAAGUCGAACGAGACCUUCGGGUCUAGUGGCGCACGGGUGCGUAACGCGUGGGAACCUGCCCUUAGGUUCGGAAUAACUCCCCGAAAGGGGUGCUAAUACAGGAUAAUGUCUUCGGACCAAAGAUUUAUCGCCUUUGGAUGGGCCCGCGUUGGAUUAGCUAGUUGGUAGGGUAAAAGCCUACCAAGGCGACGAUCCAUAGCUGGUCUGAGAGGAUGAUCAGCCACACUGGGACUGAGACACGGCCCAGACUCCUACGGGAGGCAGCAGUGGGGAAUAUUGGACAAUGGGCGAAAGCCUGAUCCAGCAAUGCCGCGUGAGUGAUGAAGGCCUUAGGGUUGUAAAGCUCUUUUACCCGGGAUGAUAAUGACAGUACCGGGAGAAUAAGCUCCGGCUAACUCCGUG